rnacentral:rRNA from 1 species
AUUGAACGCUGGCGGCAGGCCUAACACAUGCAAGUCGAGCGGAGCGCCGGACGGACGAGUAAUUCCUAGGAAUCUGCCUGGUCUUGGGGGAUAACGUCCGGAAACGGGCGCUUAUACCAUAUCCUAUCAGAUUAGCCUAGGGCGGAUUAGCUAUUUGGUGGGGUAAAGGCCUACCAAGGCGACGAUCCGUACCUGGUCUGAGAGGCUGAUCAGUCACAAUGGAACGGGAAAACGGUCAAGACUCCUACGGGAGGCAGCAGUGGGGAAUAUUGGAAAAUGGGCGAAAGCCGGAUCCAGACAUGCCGCGUGUGUGAAGAAGGUCUUCGGUGUGUAAAGCACUUUAAGUUGGGAGGCGUUACCAACAGAAUAAGCACCGGCUAACUUCGUGCCAGCAGCCGCGGUAAUUC